GGCUCAGUGGUCUAGGUAAGCUCUCGAGCUGCUUUUCCACUAAUCUUUCACUAAUCUUACCUAGUCGUAUGAUUGCUGCUUCGGGUUUUCGCCCAGAUACCGAGUAUCGUGAAUGUAGCAGGUCCCGGGUUCAAAUCCCGGCUGAGCCC